rnacentral:rRNA from 1 species
UACGAAGGGGGCUAGCGUUGCUCGGAAUCACUGGGCGUAAAGGGUGCGCAGGCGGCCGUGUGUGUCAGGUGUGAAAGCCCGGGGCUUAACCCCGGAAUUGCGCCUGAAACUACAUGGCUAGAGCAUUGGAGAGGGUAGCGGAAUUCACGGUGUAGCAGUGAAAUGCGUAGAUAUCGUGAGGAACACCAGAGGCGAAGGCGGCUACCUGGACAAUUGCUGACGCUCAGGCACGAAAGCGUGGGGAGCAAAAGGG